UGGGGAAUAUUGCACAAUGGGCGAAAACCUGAUGCAGCAACGCCGCGUGAGUGAUGAAGGUCUUCGGAUUGUAAAGCUCUGUCUUUUGGGACGAUAAUGACGGUACCAAAGGAGGAAGCCACGGCUAACUACGUGCCAGCAGCCGCGGUAAUACGUAGGUGGCGAGCGUUGUCCGGAUUUACUGGGCGUAAAGGGUGCGUAGGCGGAUGUUUAAGUGAGAUGUGAAAUACCCGGGCUUAACUUGGGUGCUGCAUUUCAAACUGGAUAUCUAGAGUGCAGGAGAGGAGAAUGGAAUUCCUAGUGUAGCGGUGAAAUGCGUAGAGAUUAGGAAGAACACCAGUGGCGAAGGCGAUUCUCUGGACUGUAACUGACGCUGAGGCACGAAAGCGUGGGUAGCAAACAGGAUUAGAUACCCUGGUAGUCCACGCCGUAAACGAUGAGUACUAGGUGUAGGAGGUNUCGACCCCUUCUGUGCCGCAGUAAACACAUUAAGUACUCC
rnacentral:rRNA from 1 species